UACGAAGGGGGCUAGCGUUGUUCGGAAUUACUGGGCGUAAAGCGCGUGUAGGCGGGUCUUUAAGUCAGGGGUGAAAUGCCAGGGCUCAACCUUGGAACUGCCUUUGAUACUGGGGACCUUGAGUCCGGGAGAGGUGAGUGGAAUUGCGAGUGUAGAGGUGAAAUUCGUAGAUAUUCGGAAGAACACCAGUGGCGAAGGCGACUCACUGGCCCGAUACUGACGCUGAGGCGCGAAAGCGUGGGGAGCAAACAGG
rnacentral:rRNA from 1 species